AAGGUGUGCUGUGAGGCAUGCUGGAGGUAUCAGAAGUGCGAAUGCUGACAUAAGUAACGAUAAAGCGGGUGAAAAGCCCGCUCGCCGGAAGACCAAGGGUUCCUGUCCAACGUUAAUCGGGGCAGGGUGAGUCGACCCCUAAGGCGAGGCCGAAAGGCGUAGUCGAUGGGAAACAGGUUAAUAUUCCUGUACUUGGUGUUACUGCGAAGGGGGGACGGAGAAGGCUAUGUUGGCCGGGCGACGGUUGUCCCGGUUUAAGCGUGUAGGCUGGUUUUCCAGGCAAAUCCGGAAAACUAAGGCUGAGGCGUGAUGACGAGGCACUACGGUGCUGAAGCAACAAAUGCCCUGCUUCCAGGAAAAGCCUCUAAGCAUCAGGUAACAUCAAAUCGUACCCCAAACCGACACAGGUGGUCAGGUAGAGAAUACCAAGGCGCUUGAGAGAACUCGGGUGAAGGAACUAGGCAAAAUGGUGCCGUAACUUCGGGAGAAGGCACGCUGAUAUGUAGGUGAAGCGACUUGCUCGUGGAGCUGAAAUCAGUCGAAGAUACCAGCUGGCUGCAACUGUUUAUUAAAAACACAGCACUGUGCAAACACGAAAGUGGACGUAUACGGUGUGACGCCUGCCCGGUGCCGGAAGGUUAAUUGAUGGGGUCAGCGCAAGCGAAGCUCUUGAUCGAAGCCCCGGUAAACGGCGGCCGUAACUAUAACGGUCCUAAGGUAGCGAAAUUCCUUGUCGGGUAAGUUCCGACCUGCACGAAUGGCGUAAUGAUGGCCAGGCUGUCUCCACCCGAGACUCAGUGAAAUUGAACUCGCUGUGAAGAUGCAGUGUACCCGCGGCAAGACGGAAAGACCCCGUGAACCUUUACUAUAGCUUGACACUGAACAUUGAGCCUUGAUGUGUAGGAUAGGUGGGAGGCUUUGAAGUGUGGACGCCAGUCUGCAUGGAGCCGACCUUGAAAUACCACCCUUUAAUGUUUGAUGUUCUAACGUUGACCCGUGAUCCGGGUUGCGGACAGUGUCUGGUGGGUAGUUUGACUGGGGCGGUCUCCUCCUAAAGAGUAACGGAGGAGCACGAAGGUUGGCUAAUCCUGGUCGGACAUCAGGAGGUUAGUGCAAUGGCAUAAGCCAGCUUGACUGCGAGCGUGACGGCGCGAGCAGGUGCGAAAGCAGGUCAUAGUGAUCCGGUGGUUCUGAAUGGAAGGGCCAUCGCUCAACGGAUAAAAGGUACUCCGGGGAUAACAGGCUGAUACCGCCCAAGAGUUCAUAUCGACGGCGGUGUUUGGCACCUCGAUGUCGGCUCAUCACAUCCUGGGGCUGAAGUAGGUCCCAAGGGUAUGGCUGUUCGCCAUUUAAAGUGGUACGCGAGCUGGGUUUAGAACGUCGUGAGACAGUUCGGUCCCUAUCUGCCGUGGGCGCUGGAGAACUGAGGGGGGCUGCUCCUAGUACGAGAGGACCGGAGUGGACGCAUCACUGGUGUUCGGGUUGUCAUGCCAAUGGCACUGCCCGGUAGCUAAAUGCGGAAGAGAUAAGUGCUGAAAGCAUCUAAGCACGAAACUUGCCCCGAGAUGAGUUCUCCCUGACUCCUUGAGAGUCCUGAAGGAACGUUGAAGACGACGACGUUGAUAGGCCGGGUGUGUAAGCGCAGCGAUGCGUUGAGCUAACCGGUACUAAUGAACCGUGAGGCUUAACCUUACAAC
rnacentral:rRNA from 1 species